GCCGGGGUGGUGAAAUUGGUAGACGCGCCAGACUCAAAAUCUGGUGGGGGCAACCCCGUGUCGGUUCGAUUCCGACUCUCGGCACCA
rnacentral:tRNA from 2 species